UUAGAUUAGAUUAGAUUAGAUUAGAUUCAACUUUAUUGUCACUGCCACAGGCAACGAAAUGCAGUUAGCAUCUAACCAGAAGUGCAAACCAGCAAUGAAAUAUAAAUGUACCGUAU